AUCUCUAUUGAAGCAAGAAGACCCCCUGAAUUUAAGCAUAUAAUUAAGGGGAGGAAAAGAAACCAACUCGGAUUCCCCUAGUAAUGGCGAGUGAAGCGGGAAGAGCUCAUGUUGUAAAUCUCCAGCUUGCUGGCGAAUUGUAGUCUAAAGGUGCGUGCUCAGUCGUGGUCCCGGGCUAAGUCUGUUGGAAAACAGCAUCAUGGACGGUGACAAUCCGGUUCUUGCCUGGGGUCCCGCGGCGUACGAGCCGUUUCCGACGAGUCGUGUUGCUUGGGAUUGCAGCACUAAGUGGGUGGUAAAUUCCAUCUAAAGCUAAAUAUUGGUGGGAGACCGAUAGCGAACAAGUACCGUGAGGGAAAGAUGAAAAGACUUUUGAAAAGAGAGUAAAAUAGUACCUGAAACUGCUGAAAGGGAAGCGAUUGAAGUCAGUGUUGCUCCUGGUCUUUUUGCCGUCGCCCCCGUGGGGGUUGCGGCGUGGGGCCUGGAGCGUUUCAACAUGCGUUCUGUUCCGCGGGAAAUGUUCAGUGUGCUGGAACCUUCGGGGAAACGCACUGUUCUUGUCGUGGUUAGGACGGAGGACCUUUGCUCCUUUGACUGCGCGUUCCUCUCUCGGGUAUGCUGGUGUCUACUGCUUGCAGUUUUCAUUUUCAUGCUUGCGACUGUGCGUGUUAUUCAUGAGCGAACAUGAUGUUGAAGAAAUGGCUUUAAUUACCCCGUCUUGAAACACGGACCAAGGAGUCUAACAUACGUGCGAGUACUAUGGUGGCAAACCAUUGUGCGCAAUGAAAGUGAAGGCUGGCUUCCGUCAGCUGAGGUGGGAUCCGCAAGGAGCACCAUCGACCGACCAUGUCCCUUCGGGGUAAAGGUUUGAGUGUGAGCAUUUAUGUUGGGACCCGAAAGAUGGUGAACUAUGCCUGAAUAGGGCGAAGCCAGGGGAAACUCUGGUGGAGGCUCGUAGCGAUUCUGACGUGCAAAUCGAUCGUCAAAUUUGGGUAUAGGGGCGAAAGACUAAUCGAACCAUCUAGUAGCUGGUUCCCUCCGAAAUUUCCCUUAGGAUAGCUGCAACCGGUUAAGAGUUUUAUCAGGUAAAGCGAAUGAUUAGAGGAUUCGGGGACGGAAUGUCCUCGACCUAUUCUCAAACUUUAAAUGGGUAAGAACCCGGGGUUGCUUAAUUGAACCCUGCGGUCGAAUCUCGGUUGCUAGUGGGCCAGUCCGGGUAAGCUGGACUGGCGAUGCGGGAUGAUCCGAACGCUGAGUUAAAGUGCCUAACUGCUCGCUCACCUAGAUCCCACAAAAGGUGUUGGUUCAUCCAGACAGCAGGACGGUGGCCAUGGAAGUCGGAAUCCGCUAAGGAGUGUGUAACAACUCACCUGCCGAAUGAACUAGCCCUGAAAAUGGAUGGCGCUAAAGCGUGCGACUUAUACUCAGCCAUCAGCGCGAGACGUAUGUGCUGAUGAGUAGGAGGGCGUGAUGCUCGUAUCGAAGCCUUGGGCGUGAGCCUGGGUGAAACGUGCAUUAGUGCAGAUCUUGGUGGUAGUAGCAACUAUUCAAAUGAGAACUUUGAAGACUGAAGCGGAGAAAGGUUCCAUGUGAACAGCAAUUGGACAUGGGUUAGUCGAUCCUAAGGCUCAGAGUAACUCCGUUAUAAGGCGGGCUUUUUUCGGAAAGCCCCGGUGGCCGAAAGGGAAGAAGGUUAAAAUUCCUUCACCUGGACGUGGAUAACGAGUGGUAACACAAGCAAAACUGGAGACGUCGGCUGGAGUCCCGGGAAGAGUUCUCUUUUCUUGUUAACAGUUCCGCAGGCCCUGGAAUCGGAUUAUCCGGCGAUAGGGUCUGGUGGCUGGGAAAGCAGCUUAAUCUUUGAGCUGUCCGGUGCUCUCCAGACGGCCCUUGAAAAUCCGGUGGCGUGACUUAUUUACACCCCAGGUCGUACUCAUAACCGCAUCAGGUCUCCAAGGUGAGUAGCCUCUAGUCGAUAGAGUAAUGUGGAUAAGGGAAGUCGGCAAAAUAGAUCCGUAACCUCGGGAAAAGGAUUGGCUCUGAGGGCUGGGCACGGGGGUCCCAGUCCCGAACCCGUCGGCUGUCGGUGGACUGCUCGAGCUGCUCCCGCGGCGAGAGCGGGUCGCCG
rnacentral:rRNA from 1 species